UGAUGUACUUGUCAAGGUGCCCAUGUUGAAUGAGCUCUUCAAUCUCAUUUUGAAAUUGGAUACAUUUCUCAAUAUUAUGACUGUGAUUUUGAUGGUACAGAUAAUGCUUCUUUGGAUCACAUCAGAUCGAUAGAGUGCACAUCCUCCUUGGCCUUGGCAGCUAUCCAUUAUCAUUGAUUUCCAUCAAAAUUUGAGCCCUUGGGGUGUUCAAAGGGGUAUAAGUGGCAAACUAUCUCAAUGGAGAGCACGACUGCUGACCUCGGGGUGGGGUCUUGGAUCAGUG
rnacentral:lncRNA from 1 species